rnacentral:tRNA from 1 species
ACAUUGGUGAUUCAGUGGUAGAAUUCUCACCUUCCAAGCCUGAGACUCAAGUUUGAUUCCUGGUCAAUGCA